CACGAAGGGUGCAAGCGUUACUCGGAAUUACUGGGCGUAAAGCGUGCGUAGGCGGUUUGUUAAGUCCGUUGUGAAAGCCCUGGGCUCAACCUGGGAAUUGCAGUGGAUACUGGCGAGCUAGAGUGCGGUAGAGGAUGGUGGAAUUCCCGGUGUAGCGGUGAAAUGCGUAGAGAUCGGGAGGAACACCCGUGGCGAAGGCGGCCAUCUGGACCAGCACUGACGCUGAGGCACGAAAGCGUGGGGAGCAAACAGG
rnacentral:rRNA from 1 species